rnacentral:rRNA from 1 species
CUAGCGACUUCAGAGUUUGAUCCUGGCUCAGGAUGAACGCUGGCGGCGUGCCUAACACAUGCAAGUCGAACGAAGCACCUAAAACAGAUUUCUUCGGAUUGAAGUUUUUGUGACUGAGUGGCGGACGGGUGAGUAACGCGUGGGUAACCUGCCUUAUACAGGGGGAUAACAGUUAGAAAUGACUGCUAAUACCGCAUAAGCGCACAGUAACCGUAUGGUACAGUGUGAAAAACUCCGGUGGUAUAAGAUGGAACCCGCGUCUGAUUAGCUAGUUGGUGGGGUAACGGCCUACCAAGGCGACGAUCAGGUAGCCGACCUGAGAGGGUGAACGGCCACAUUGGAACUGAGACACGGUCCAA